GCAGCCCAUGUCCCACUUUGCUCAAAGACACAAAGGGCCUGCCAGCAGGAUAAAGUGCAUUGGGCCAAAAGCCCUAUAACACAAAAGCUAAAUAGAUGAUACAAUAUACAAAUGAAAGAGAAACAAGCUGUAACAGUCAUGAAUGCAUAUUCAGAAAGAAAACAAUUAUACUAAUAUUAGUCAAGCAGCUGUGCCACUGUCCUAAGCAAAAGACAGAAGAAUAUCCCUUCUCCUGAUGUUACAGGGGUCAUUUGCCGAGUUACUUCAGCAUGGUUAUCUCAAGCACCCUAAUACCCUACUAGUUCACCUGUGUUGGUUCUGGAUACAAGUAACUAUGCCAAACCAAGGGGAGGCUACGAUAUACCAUAUAGGCUGAAUUCAUGUUAAUUAGAGAAAAUAUCAUAUCCCAUGAUGAUAGGCAACGAUUAGAAAUCCAUAUUUGAUUAUUUAUAUAUUUCCCAUUAAAUAUCAUUUUUAAAUUUAUGCCCUAAAAACCAAUCUCUUCAGCAUCACAGACACCUGACCAACUGUUUCAGUUGUUCAUAUUCAUUCACACAUCAAAUGUAUACAACUUUUAGUGCCUACAUAUGCAUCAGGAAUUGUCUACAAAGAAUCUCAUAUGGGAGAGAGAGUAUCAUUAGCAUUAUCAUAAUGGAUGCCAAGAAAAUUACAAUACAUGGGAAUGGUAAAUAUGAAAGGAAAGAAAAGAAAAAGAAGCUAUGCAUUUCCCUAAAAGCAUGGGUUAUUGUUUUGAAUUACAAAAACCCAAAGACAGUUAGAACAUGGAUAAUAUCGUUGUGCAGUGAAACAGAUGUCAGAAUUAGUGAUUGCUUAUCCAAAUAAACUUCACUAGGGUAGGGUGCCCUCAUAAGACCUCUUAAUAGGCUACAUAAAAAAUCAGAGAAAAAAAGAGAUCACGUUCAGAGUUCUUUUUUCUCACUUCACUCAUUACUCUCCAACUGACUGAUUUGGUUUUCUUCCAACAUUCUUUUCAUCAAGCAAUAAAACUUGUUCCAUAAACAGCUCCUCAUGGAGAUAGAAUUACACAACAGGAUUCAGCCAAGACAAACACAGACUAAUGAUCAUCUAAAUAGUUAUCAUACCAUGGCAGAUUUGAAAUAGAGUAUGGCUAAUAUCAUUCAAAACAACUAAAUCAAGUAAGACACACGGAGAUAAUACCUUUUCUGCUCAUGAAAGUUGGAGAGAGAGCUAGAAUUUUUGCAUAGUGAUAAUAAACAAAAUUACCUGAAUAUAUGGAUAGGUAUUGGCAGCUGCAGUGUCACCAAUAAGCAUUGAGUCACACUGUGAAGAGUUUCGAGCAUGGUCUGCCUUUGAUUGGAUCUGAACAAGCCCCCUGUAACAGUUUCUGGAAUUCCCAGCUGAAAUACCUUUUGAAAUAAUUCGACUUCUUGUAUUCUUUCCCUUGUGUAUCAUUUUGGUCCCUGUAUCUGCCUGCUGAUAGUUAUUUGUCAAAGCAACAGAAUAGAACUCUCCCACAGUAUCAUCCCCCUCCAAAACAACACUUGGGUACUUCCAAGUAAUUGCAGAUCCUGUCUCCACCUGAGUCCAAGAUAUCUUAGACCUAUCCCCAGCACAAAGUCCUCGCUUUGUAACAAAAUUAUAAAUCCCACCCUUUCCUUCCUCAUCGCCGGCAUACCAAUUCUGCACUGUGGAGUACUUAAUUUCUGCACCCUCAGCACAAUACAGCUCAACUACAGCUGCGUGAAGCUGGUUUGUGUCAUAAGAUGGUGCAGUGCACCCUUCCAAGUACUCCACAAAACUCCUAUCAUCAGCAACUAUCAAAGUCCUCUCAAACUGCCCUGUUUCCAUGGCAUUAAUCCUAAAAUAUGUGGAAAUCUGCAUUGGGCACUUAGUAUCCUUUGGUAUAUAACAAAAUGACCCAUCACUAAAAACAGCAGAAUUCAAAGCUGCAUAAUAAUUAUCCUCGCUAGGCACAACUCUCCCCAAAUACUUCCUAACCAAAUCUGGGUAUUUCUUUAUCGCCUCAGAUAUGGAACAAAAAAUCACACCAGCCUUCUCAAGAGUCUGCCUGUGUGUAGUAGCAAUUGAAACGCUAUCAAGAACUGCAUCAACCGCAACAUUAGCCAAUCUAUUCCUUUCAUUCAAAGGCACACCAAGUCUAUCAAAGUACCUAAGCAGUUCUGGGUCAGCCUCAUCCAGACUAUUCAAAGCGGGUUUCUUUUUAGGAGCUGAAUAAUAACAAAUAUCUUGAAAAUCAAUUGGUGGGUACAGAUUAUCAGACCAUUUAGGCUCUUUCAUUUUUAAGAAUUUCUCGAAAGCAUUCAAUCUAAACUCAAGCAUCCAAUCGGGUUCUUCUUUAAGCGAAGAAAUUAACCUGAUUGUUUCCUUGGAAAGGCCUUUAGGAAUGGAAAAGGAAUCAAUAUCCAUAGUAAAGCCAAAUUUCUUCUUGUAAUCACGAUUACGGAGAAUUUCC
rnacentral:misc_RNA from 1 species